AUUGAGAAAGCUUGGAAAUUUUGGUUGUAAUCUAAAAACUUGGGUCUGAUUUAGUCUAAUCUUGAAAAUUACUCUGCUGCCAUGGGUGCCCCAAAUUCAUUCACUUUCUUUGUUUAUUGUUUUUGCAGAUCUAUUUGUUGUUUGUGGAUAUUUAUGUAAGGUUUGGGUAGAUCUAAAAAUUGAUUUUGUAGUUCGUUUUCUGAUCGGGG
rnacentral:lncRNA from 1 species